UAUUUUGCGUGCAGUGAAUGCUAUGAACGCACUCCAAUUUAUUUACCACUUUAGAACGAUUUUUCGUGGCCGGAUGAGUAUAAAACCGCUCGUGUAUUGUCGAACCGCCCGCUUAAAUCUUCCUGAACAGGACAAGCAACUCGUGUGCAGUGGCCAGAAUUUGGAUGUCAACAUGAAGGACAGAGGUUUUGUGCGCAAUCGAAUUGGGCAGAUGACCGAGAUGGCUACAUAUAUCGAUCGAAUUCAGAGACAAAUUAUCCUGGGAAAGUACAUGACGCUCUGCGUAGUGCUGUUGUAGGAUGACCAUAAUUUUGCUGAAAAUCACGAAAAAAGAACAGUUAAAGGAUUCGAAGCUUACUUGAACAUUUCAGGAUCCGAUAAGGAAGAAUGUUAAUAAGCUGCCAAUAUGAAAAAGGAAAUAUAUAUAGUUCGGGAUUUCUGGAAAUCCGAAAUGCGAGCGUCGAUAAAUAAUUUUAGCAUCCGUCGUUAGCUUAACGCUAAGCCAUCUCACAAAGGAUUCUCGGUUUAAAAAGUCUGUGCCAAAUCAAGUCUGGUAAGCGAAAACGACUGUAUCAACGUUAAAUACCCCGCAAUGGCUGGAAAUAGGACAUGUCGUAGGAACUGAUUAAGUGCCAUACUCAUGAAUUUCCAAUCGGGCAACAAUAUAAGGGAUUUUUCAACAGGAGGUGUUAAAUCGUUCAAAUUGUACAGCUUAAUUCCUUAUUAACUGACACUGAAUUAUUUCAUCGAAGAGGUUAGAUUCAUUAUGGCAAGGCUUGUGAACAUAAUCGACAUCGACCCAGUGUUGUGAAGAAAGUAGGUAACCAAAUGGCACUGCGUGAGCCAAGACUCAUUAGGGAUCAUCGGAUUGAAAUCAAGCCGAAUAAACAUCCAAGUGCUGCGCCAAAAUCCGAUGGAUUGAUGACCGAUGUACUCUGCCGAACAAACCUGCGUUCGGUAAGUAACAGGUUUGAAAAUUCCCAUCUUCAAAAUUGUUAGUAUAAUUUUGAUAUUUUUCGGGUUGGAAGUAUUUUUUUGCUCACAUAGAAAAUUAAAACAGGCAUAUAUUUACACAAGUAAAAUAGCAAUAUUCAGUUUAUGUUAUAAAAUUAUAUUAUUUAUUCCAAUACACGUGAAAGGAGAAUUAAAUGUUCAUUCGUCUUAACGUUCAGAGUAGGAGACAUUCAUACUAUUUAGCAUGUUGCUACUACAUAAAUGAAGGCGUUUAACACUUCAGAUUGCCAUUAUGAAUAUAGCCUCC